AUUCGCUGUUGAGUUACUUUUCUCUCCUGUUAAGAGAGAAAAUAAGAACAUCUGACAGAGAACACGUAAAACCAUCCUAAAACGAGGAAAACAGAAGACAUGUCGCGGUCAGUAGUAUCUGUCACCCACCCAGCCCACUCUUCUGUGCCCGGAACAAGGUUCUGAAGACCACCCCGCCAGGGGCGAAGGGGGCAGUGCUGGAUGGAGGGCGGACUGGGGCCAGAAGUCUCUGCAGCCCCUGUCUGCAUCUAUCAGCCGCACCACCUCAGGUCAGGCACCGCGCGUCCUCUGUCAACGCGACAUCACCCGCGUGCGAGGUGAGGGUGACAGCGGCUCACUGGAUUGUCGCAGUACGUGAGUGAAGGCCUGUGAAGUGCUGGGUCCGAGAAAUGUGGGACGCACGGCAGCUGUGGUUUGUAUUAUUCUGGGAAGAGCAUCCCUGAGUUUCAUCACACUCUUUUGAAUGUAUAUUUUCUGUUCAUAGGACUUCUUGGAUUAAUGAACUCGCUAAAUGUAAAACCUAUGUAAUUAAGUCUUCUUUCAUUGUCCAGAAGUUACUUCUUUCCAUUGACCGGGGCACCUCAUUGUCUAAUACUUAGGGAUUCAACGCCUUGAUCUGUCUGCUUCAUGUGAAUUCUAGUCAGUGCCUUUUGGUCCCUUUCUAAUUUCCUUUGGGUCCUGGGACAGUGACACAGGCCACGGAGUAUUCCACGAGGAUGUACGUGAGGGAGGCGUGGUCUUCUGUUGGUGGUAACUUCAUGGACAACUGUUGGAGUUUCGUGAACUUUUCGGCAACAGCAGCAAUUUGAGUCACAACUUUAAGGAGUGAUCUUCUCCUGAGGACAUCGCCCUGUCAUCCGGAAGCACUUUCAUGCUCGUCCAAUCAUUCAGGAUCUUCGGCAGCUGGGAAGGAAGGUGCUGUGUUCCUGAGCCCAUCCCCCCAGGGGACACUCUCUAAAGUGUCUGAACUGAGCAAGAAAGCACAGUGAGGGGCAGCUUGGGGAAAAAAAUACCUCAGUCGUGUCAUUUUCCUGAUUUCACCGAAUGAUACCGUGUUACUAAAAACGUAAAAUCAAUAUACUUGCCGUAUAAAAUAGCCUGGUGACGUUUUGAGGAUCUAAGGUCUCAAAUUUCUCUCCUCAAUGGGCUUUUAGAUGUAAGUUCCAGUGUUUUUCCAAGUGGAUACCCAUUUCCCAGCCUUUCCUGCUCCAGCACGCCCACCCACAGGAGACAGUGUGAAACCAUAAAUAUUACCAUAAAGUUUCCGGAUUCCUUUGAUAUCAUCUGGUGCAAGUUUGAAAUUCUUGGGGUCUCCAACUCUGUAGGCUGGAUACAUCACGGCAUUGGGAUCAGACGAGUGACCCAGGCCCAAAGAAUGGCCAAGUUCGUGGGUUGCAGUGAUCAGGAAGUUAACUCCUACAACCAAGAGUGACACGCAGUAACUCCAAGGGCAGCUCUGUGAAUAACGUCGUGCGUGACACGCAAUAGAACGAGGAACUACAAGAACACACACCUCUUCAGAGCGUUUGCGGGCCACUGACUUGUGUCUGGGCCUCACGAGUGGAGGGCUGAGAAGGAGCAUCAAAGGAGUGCUUUAAUCUCCUCGCCCCUUCUGUUUUUGCAAAAUGUGCUGUUUUUCUUACAUAAUCACGAGACAGCAGUCUUCUGGAGUGGAAAGCAACACUUCAGAGGUGCUGGGGACCCAGGCCUGACACCCGGCUCUGCUGCUUACCAGCUGGACUCUGUGGACGCAUGAACUGACCUCCCGAGUCUCAGUUCCUCGUCUGUUAAACGGAGAUAAUCACUCCUACUGUGUAGGUUUGUCACACUACGGAGAGUUCCCCACUAUCUGGAGAGUAAUGGCUAGUCACUGACAGUGACCUCAAGCGUCAGGAGAGAGAACGUCGGCCUUGAGGAAGCCGAGACUAAAAGCAGGGUACCCUGGCGACGCUGGGUUUGGUUUCUGACCUACGGAAUCAUCUUCCCUCAGACCCACAGAUGGGCUUCACCAGCAAGGCGGACGGCGCGAGCCUGGGAGUCGGCGGAGUGGCCAGGGCUCUGACGACCCUGAUGACCUAGUCCAGUGACUCGUCGGAGCCCAGAGCUUUAUGUCUAUUCUUGCUUUCACUCUCUCCCCUUCCACGCGGAGGACAUGACUCCCUAUCAGCCUCGACAUCAACACCAAAUGUACUCAGCGCUCUGCUUACUGGAAGUGCUGUAUCUCACGACCGUCUUUCAAAGUCGUCCCCGUGCGGGGUGACAGUCGGCAAUCCAGGCACCAAUGUUUUCCUCCCCUUCAGUUCGGGGAGGAGCUCAGAGUGUGCUCCU